ACGACGUCAACAACUUAUCAAUCAUGAAUCAAGUUGUACGAUACGAGCCUUAAGUAAUGGAGAAGGAGUGGGACUGGAGUAUUCCUACCCCCAUUCAGAGUAUCUUUGGGUAUGGGACGUAUGACCCAACACUUAUCGUAUUCGCCUCCAUUCAUAGACUUUAGUGCAAUUCGAAUCUAACGACUGAUAAGGUCUUCAUCAUCAC
rnacentral:lncRNA from 1 species